UUCCUACGGGGGGCAGCAGUGGGGAAUAUUGGGCAAUGGGCGCAAGCCUGACCCAGCAACGCCGCGUGAAGGAAGAAGGCUUUCGGGAUGUAAACUUCUUUUAUCAGGGACGAAGAAAGUGACGGUACCUGAUGAAUAAGCCACGGCUAACUACGUGCCAGCAGCCGCGGUAAUACGUAGGCGGCAAGCGUUGUCCGGAUUUAAUGGGUGUAAAGGGCGUGUAGGCGGGAGUGCAAGGCAGAUGUGAA
rnacentral:rRNA from 1 species